rnacentral:rRNA from 1 species
CCUACGGGGCGCAGCAGUCGAGAAUCAUUCACAAUGGGGGAAACCCUGAUGGUGCGACGCCGCGUGGGGGAGUGAAGGUCUUCGGAUUGUAAACCCCUGUCAUGUGGGAGCAAAUUAAGAAGAUAGUACCACAAGAGGAAGAGACGGCUAACUCUGUGCCAGCAGCCGCGGUAAUACAGAGGUCUCAAGCGUUGUUCGGAAUCACUGGGCGUAAAGCGUGCGUAGGCUGUUUCGUAAGUCGUGUGUGAAAGGCGCGGGCCCAACCCGCGGACGGCACAUGAUACUGCGAGACUAGAGUAAUGGAGGGGGAACCGGAAUGCUCGGUGUAGCAGUGAAAUGCGUAGAUAUCGAGAGGAACACUCGUGGCGAAGGCGGGUUCCUGGACAUUAACUGACGCUGAGGCACGAAGGCCAGGGGAGCGAAAGGGAUUAGAUACCCUUGUAGUC